AGGAGGAGAAAAUAAUAAUGAUUCUGCUAGUAGUGGCGAACGAACGUGGAUGAGGCUAAACCGUGUGCAUGUGAUACCUGGUAGGGGUUGUGUGUGCGGUGUUGUGGGCCCCAAUGUGCGGUGACUACCAUCAUCGUGCUUGUGUGUUGUUGUUAGGUGAAGUGGUUUGGAAUGGCCUGCCGGAGAAGGUGAGAGUCCUGUAGUUGAAGACAAUG
rnacentral:rRNA from 1 species